rnacentral:lncRNA from 1 species
GGGAGCUCCAGCACCUUCCACCCAGCACAGGAAAGAAUGCCCUGCCCAGAAAGCCUUCCUGGGACAAAGUGUGUGUUCUCUGAGUGCCCGCAGUGGUCUCUUGCCAAAGGGACGCAUGAAGCCGUGCGUGCAGGAGUGGGUGGGCACCACUGGCUGCCACUGGGGUUGCUGGGUGAGGCGGCUUAGCCACCGCCCGGGCCUUUGCAGGGUUCUGCAGUCACCAUGCUCUGGCCAUCCAACCUGAAGACAGUCUUCGCCCUCUGUGUCUCUCUUGCCUUCCUGGUCACCACUGUGGAGAGCUAUGAGUGUAUAAGCUGCUCCGGGGGACAAUGCAGGUCUAACCCGACAGCAACCUGUACCACCUCCCAAGGCUGCUUCAGCCUCCAGCAGGAAUUAAACAUCUCAGGACAGCAAAUCUUAUUGGCCCAGGAUAAAGGCUGCUCUUCGGGAGCCUGUUCUGCACUGGCCUUCUCGGUGACACUCGGGGAAAAGAGGGCAUUCCGCUAUGACCGCCGGUGCUGCGACGGCCAGCGGUGUAACAAGGAGAAUGUCACGCUGUCACUGAAGUCCUCAAAGCCCAAUGGCAUUGAGUGCCCUGCUUGCUACAAUGCAACCGGCCUGUCCUGUACCCCAGUCCAACUACAGUGCACGGGGGAAGAGACGAAGUGCAUCGAGGUGGUUGGCACAGGUAUGGCCCUUCCCAGGCACUCCAGGGUUCCUCUCUGAGAG